rnacentral:rRNA from 1 species
GGAGUUAGGAAAUGUAGGUGCGAUAAUACCGUGUCUAUUUGACAAAGGCUCCAAAGGAAGCCACGGCUAACUCUGUGCCAGCAGCCGCGGUAAUACAGAGGUGGCAAGCGUUGUUCGGAAUUAUUGGGCGUAAAGAGCACGUAGGUGGAUUUGUUAGUCAGAUGUGAAAGCCUUUUGUUCAACGGAAGAAUUGCAUCUGAAACUACAAACCUUGAGUAUAGGAGGGGAGAGUGGAACUUCUGGU